GGCCGCCUGGCGAAAUGGCAUCGCGUCUGACUACGAAACAUUGAAACCACAAUGUUAGCGAUCAGGAGAUUGCAGGUUCGACCCCUGCGGCGGUCA
rnacentral:tRNA from 1 species